UGUACCAUUAUCCACUUUGUCAAAUUGGGCAAAAGAAUUUAGGAAAUGGCUUCCUGAUCUGAAUGUUAUAGUGUAUGUUGGUACCCGUGCAAGCCGAGAGUUCAAAGGCAUGUCCCUCUUGGAGCAUCUGUUGCUGAUUUGUAUGCAGGAGCAGGUGUUAUCAGAUUAUCAUUAGCUGCUACAAGAAAAUGCAGGCAAGAAUUUAAGAUUUCUGUAAAUGCACAGUAUUAAAACUCAGAAGUCUCGAACUUUAUAAAGUGAAAUUCUAAUUGUUUUCUAGGUCUGUGAGAUGCAUUGAGAUUAACAAAGAAUCAAAGCUAUCCUUUGAGAAGACGGUUGCCCGCCUGCCAAACAUAGUAGAUAGCAGCAUCAGCUGGCAUCAUGCAGACACUUCUAAGAUCCGCCUUCUUUUGGCUAUCAGUUAAGACAUAGGAGAGGAAAAUCAGAAACUACUCGUGUUUUGGCUGCUGUACUUAUUUGACUUCUUUGGAUACAAUUUGUUUUUUGAGUUUGAUCUUUUUGUUCAUUUUUUUACUUGCUGCAUGUAUUUGUUUUGUUUUCUUUUCAAACGAUAUAUAAUCUAUUUGUGACCUCUAAUUUAAAGUUUUAUGUCUGCAGUCUUUGAUUUGAUUCAAAAUUUUAAAUUUUCAUCAUAAAGUUGACUAAUAUUCAAACCUCAUAUUGUUUCAGUAAGUUCUUCAGUCUGACAGGUUAACUAAUUAUAUGUAAUAAUCUAUAGCUUCAUUAACUAACUAUCCUGCUGAAUUGAAAAGCUUUUGUUGGUUCCUACUAAAUACACUAUAUGCCAUGAAUUUAAGUUUUGAUGAGUUUGGGAAUCACAGGAGCUAGAUUCGUAUAUGCCUUUGUUGAAAUUGUGAUACGAGUUUGAAACAAAUUUAAAACUUUUGUGUAUAUUUUCUUCAAACAAAGCAACUGAAAACCAAUGAUCAAAAGACUAUUACAGAGAAACUAACUUGGUGCAAUGACAUUCAUAUUGGGGACAAAUUUGGCAUCGUAAAUUUGAGUCAUACAAAUUUUUUAGUUUUCAUUAGUGAAUUGCUCAAUUUAAAGGAAAUCUAAACUGUAAGUGAAUGUGAGACUAGAUCAGCAAUGAAAUUUAUGUAAUAUCAUAACCUCUCUCUCUCUCUUUGUUUUUUUUCCCUCUUCUUUUCAAUAUUACUGUAACAAUUUGAUUCAAUUGAUAAUCUGUUUCCACAGUUGUACUUCAUCACUUCAGUAUAACUAAAAUCUCCCCUUCUCAUGAUAAGUCCUAGUCCUAUAAUGAUUUAAAGGUCUAAUGCAAGUUAUGAACAUCCCUGUUACAAUGUUUCUGUAAUCAGAGUUUGGUUCUGAUUUUAUAAUGGAACUGUUUAGAUUUUGUUUAUUGAAUUUUGGAGUUUGAUAAUGGAGUGAGAAUGGAGCAAAAAUCAUAGCAGAGAAAGCUUGAUGAAAUUAGUAUUGAUCUCUCAAAUGCUUUUAUUCUUUGUGUGAAUAAUCAUUUGUUUUUCUUGUGGAGUUUAAAUUCAUUAAGUAUACCUUCUUUGAAAACGACAAAAGAAUCUGCUCAGUAAAAUGGUUUUAGGUUCUAUGUGUUUGUUUUGUUUUUUUGGAUGCUAUUAGGAACCCUAAAAAUCUGAUUUGUUGUUUUUUGUGUAGUUGGGACUUGAAAGUUGCAUAUAUUGAAGAAAUUGGGAAGACCAGGUUUGGGAGUUUAAGGAUUUUGCUAACCAACUCCAGCAUCUUCCGCAGCUGCAACUGAAACGAUCACCUUUCUAACAAUCGGAGCACUUACUAUUUUGAACAACCUCCAGCAGCAACUUUUGCUAGAUUAACUUAUAACCCUUUUGUAGAGCUAGCAUUUUUGCACCAGCUCCAGUUGAAUGGACUUCAACUAAAAGCAAAGCGCGGGUAAUUCAUUAAUAACGGUACAUCCUGCAGCAAAGCGCGGGGAAGUUUUCUAGUAUAUACUAUGAAGCAAUCUGGAUACUUGAUGUUUCAAGAAAGGUUGUAGUUUUACUCAAUUUAUGAUGUACUUAAGGAAAUAAGAUGUAUUGAUUCGAUUUUGGCGUGGUUUGUAUGUCCAAAAUCUGUUCACUGGCUUAUGCUUUAAGAUUGUGUAUAAUCAGAUUGCUUGAAUUAAUGCAAUGCCCCAUAUUUAAGAAGCGA